UGUCUCGACUCGGGACAGGUCAGGCCAUUCUUCAUGCUGACCAGAUGCACCGUCGCUCAGCUUUGGCCGAGGAUUCUGUAGCCGUGAAUAAUAACACCAAUAUAUAUGUGAGCGAAUCCUUGCCGGCGGUUUUGGGAGAGAUCCGCCGCUGCGAUGCUGGCAGGGGUACGGCCAUGCUUUCUCCUGGUCUGGCCACCAUGUAGGGCUUAAUCCCACCUGUGAUCGCUCUGGUCGGGUCAACCACAGUUGAAAUGGGUGGCUUGUGCCGCUGUGGAAAGCUGUUCAAAAGCCUUCAAGUGCUGAUACGUCUAAUCCCUUGGUCCUGUUUGCGUCCCCAUGUUUGUGCGUCAUACCUCCCUAGAGCUUGAAAUAUUUGCCUGAAACUCAGCAGGACCCACUGUUUUGUCAAUUUCGGAUGUCAUAGUUUCUAAAGUAUGCUUCUUGAUUCAGGUACAAGCAUUGCAGUCAGAUUUUGGAGGCCUCAUAGCUUUAAAGCAGUGGUCUCCAACCCUGGUCCUGGAGAGUUACUUUCCUAGUUCCAACAUGUAUCCAAUAAGUUUCCCCAUCCUCUACUUAACUGUAAUGAAUGAUCCAGCCAAUCAGAGACUUGGGAGAGGUUUGGAAUAUUGUUGGAACUGGGCUCUGCAGAAAGGUACCAGGGUUGGAGCCCACUGCUUUAAAAGACUUUGGCCUUCUUUCACUUUUUUCUUCCUGCUUACUUUUCUUAGAAAUACUUUAAACACUUUAGAAUCACUCAUGUUGUUGGCAAUGAUGUCCACCGAGGUCCACAAGGCUAGCAUGACAUUGGCCUAUAUAAAGUCUAAAAGUUGAAGACAUAUUUUCAAGGCAGCAUCUCUCAAAUUGUUUUACUUUAAGGUUCCCUUUGUGGGUGGGUGGUAAGUGCUGCCUGAAAAAUCUUGGAAAGAUACAAGAUAUGCCAUCAAUAUGGUUCACUUCUCUAAGAAAACAUUGUUUCCCCAGUUUUGGAGGUCUACUGGAAUAUAAAUCUGGGACAUGGGAAAUACAGCCUCGUACAGUUUUGCUUGUGCUCUUUGGACAGCUAAUAUCAAUAAACCUGGAUUUGUUUUGCUUUGA